GGGUAAGGGAAGGAUAGUCUCUUCUUUUGGAGCAUUUACUAUUGUGUUGAGCACCACAGGUGCAGCGCAGAAGUGAGUCACACCUUGGUUGGCAAUGGCCGAAUAGACUGCCUUGGCUGUGACCUGCCUCAAGCAAAUAUUUGUCCCGCAAAGAGCUGCAAGCGACCAGGCGUAACACCAACCAUUGCAAUGGAACAUGGGCAAAGUCCACAGAUAAAUAGCUCCUUCAUUGAGACC
rnacentral:misc_RNA from 1 species